rnacentral:lncRNA from 1 species
UUGAAUUUUUUUACAGGUUUAUAUUUUAUUAAAUAAUGACUUACCCUGAUAGAAAUAGAACAAAGAAAUUAGAUUUUGUAGACACUCAAAAGCUUUCUUCUACGUUUGUUCUUUUAUGGUACAAGGAUUGUGAAAAAGAUGAGCGGCAUACCUCUCCCAUAUCACUUUCAAAUACACUUUUUAAGCAUUAUUCAUCCGUUGAAUGCCUUGAAUUUCAAGUGAAAAAUGUAGUGCAUGUUUCUAUUGCAAAUAUACAACACGCAGCUGUCAUCAUCUAUUAGGGGUCUAUUACCCAAUGCUGUAAAUUUGAAACAUUGCUAGAUAACUUCAUGGACGAUUUUGGUGAUGAAAAUCCUAGCAUUGAUGAAGUAAGCAAGUUUGCCCUCAAUUAUAUUGAAGGCAAUACUGACGGAAAAAGAAAACAUUCUGAUGGAGACCAAUCCUCAGUGGUGAACUGGACCAUGGUGCCGGAGUGCAAUAGCACCCUGGGUCAAAAAAAAGGAGGUUACCUUUGUUACCAGACAGAGUUUAGUUAUUAUGUCUGCUACACAAGUAAUAAUUAAUUAAACAUUUUUGCUAAAUAAUAAAAAAUGACACAAAAUUCACACAAAAAUUAUCAACACAAGUUAAAGUUGCACUAUCCGAUGGUAGGUGGGGAUCUAUUGGAUCCACUAGUAGCCUAGCCCCUAGUACACCCAUGAUUAUAUGUUUGUAACCACAACUUGUUCAUAUAUAUUUUUUUGUUCAAAAAGAAACUUCUUUUUGAACAAAAGAAGACCAACAAACUGUUGUCUGAAAUUUUGCGCCCAAUAGAAAAAGAAUCUGUAAAUAAUGAUAAUGCCGUGUAUACUGGUUUUGAUGCCGAAUUUAAAUUGCACGACAUUCAAAAACGAGAACCAUGUAGCUUUGCAAGAAAAUUUAUUUUGUUGCGAUUCGGAAAAGAGUUUACUUGCACGCGUAUUUGUGAACCAAACGGACCUACUGCACGCAUUCAUAUGGAGAAUGAAGAAAUUCAGGAAGUUAAAGGUGCACUUGACAAAGUGUUUACUUCUUACAACUGGCGUGUUGUUCGGGCGAGUAUUAAUCAAUUUUUCCGAGACAAUAAAAGUAGUACAAAAGUUUGAAGACUAAACAAAUGAGUGACAUUUUUCUUGUGGUGUGGGGUUGUCAGCGUUUUUCGCUUAUCCCCCCCCCCCCCA